UACGGAGGAGGCAAGCGUUAUCCGGAAUUAUUGGGCGUAAAGCGCACGUAGGCGGCUUUGUAAGUUAGAGGUGAAAGCCCGGGGCUCAACUCCGGAACUGCCUUUAAGACUGCAUCGCUUGAAUCCAGGAGAGGUGAGUGGAAUUCCGAGUGUAGAGGUGAAAUUCGUAGAUAUUCGGAAGAACACCAGUGGCGAAGGCGGCUCACUGGACUGGUAUUGACGCUGAGGUGCGAAAGCGUGGGGAGCAAACAGG
rnacentral:rRNA from 1 species